rnacentral:lncRNA from 1 species
AACAACAAGAUAAUAAAAAUAAAGAAUGAACACAAAUAUUUUACGUGGAAAACUCGUCAAAGAGGAUAAAAAAUCACGGGCAAAGGACGCUUUAGCUUUUCACAAUGAGUAAGCAAACAUGAGUAUAAUAUGGAGAAAAUAAACCUAAAUGUACUAAACGUACAAACCCAUACCCCGAAAACAAAGCCCUAAAUCCCUUCCCUCCCCCCCCCC